rnacentral:rRNA from 1 species
GAUGAACGCUGGCGGCGUGCCUAAUACAUGCAAGUCGAGCGAACGGACGAGAAGCUUGCUUUUCUGAUGUUAGCGGCGGACGGGUGAGUAACACGUGGAUAACCUACCUAUAAGACUGGGAUAACUUCGGGAAACCUGAGCUAAUACCGGAUAAUAUUUUGAACCGCAUGGUUCAAAAGUGAAAGACGGUUUUGCUGUCACUUAUAGAUGGAUUCGCGCUGCAUUAGCUAGUUGGUAAGGUAACGGCUUACCAAGGCAACGAUGCAUAGCUGACCUGAGAGGAUGAUCAGCCACACUGGAACUGAGACACGGUCAAGACUCCUACGGGAGGCAGCAGUGGGGAAUCUUCCGCAAUGGGCGAAAGCCUGACGGAGCAACGCCGCGUGAGUGAUGAAGGUAUUCGGAUCGUAAAGAUCUGUUAUUAGGGAAGAACAGAAGUGGAAGUAACUGUGAACAUCUUGACGGUACCUAAUCAGAAAGCCAAGGCUAACUCCGUG